CCUUGUGGAUAAUAGCUGGGGACGGGGCGCUCUCCGUUAUGGGCUUUUAGUACUAUCUUUGGAGCCGCCGAUUGCGAAUUAGAGCGGCAUUUGCUAGCAGCUUGUCUUUCCGCAUGGCCGAGUUUGUUCAGGAUAAUCUCCGGAACGACUAGACUGAUCUUGACGGGACUUGGACGGAGUCGAGGGCGACCGCUAGCCGCGUUUGUUUGGUGUAGUCUCUGAAAUGGCUUUACUGAUCUUGAACGGAAGGUGGCUGAUGCUCGCAGCUAUGUUUUUUCUAAUUCUGUGGUGACAAAGUCGCGGAAGACCGGUCGUUGAAAAUAAAAUAAUGGAUAUAUAUUCAAGC